GUCUGAUCUGUGGGUCUGUGGUGUCUCUGGGUGUGUGGGUCUGAUCUUUGGGUCUGUGUUGUCUCUAGGGGUGUGUGGGUCUGAUCUGUGGGUCUGUGUUGUCUCUAGGGGUGUGGGUCUGAUCUGUGGGUCUGUGUUGUCUCUAGGGGGUCUGAUCUGUGGGUCUGUGUUGUCUCUAGGGGUGUGUGUACGGACGUAUGCAGGAGUAGUGGACAGUAAGACGUCAGAAGGCUGGCUGAAAACUCAGUCUGAGUCUGAUUCGUCGAGCAUGAGUCCGAUCCAGGAAGAGGCGGGGUCGGAGGCGGGAGACGACGCUAGUGAUCCGGCGACGGGCGAAUGGCAACAGCAGCCUUCAACCAUUCAGAGCAAGAAGAGCCGCAAGAACAACAGGAUGAGGAAGACUGAUGGUGCAGAGACGACGUCUUCUCUGUUCGACGUACCUCAGGUCUGGUAGCGAUGGAACCCGAGAUCCUGGCUCCUUACCACCUGGGUUCCUACUUCCUACCCCUGGCCACUUGACUCCUACCCCCUAGGACCGGGUUUGGAACGAGGCCUGAAGUUUCAACCAGCUGCACUUAUCUGACUGGCUGAGAGAAACGAAGCCAUAAAUCAUGAUAGGAGUCCUCAGCAUGUGGUAUAGCAGGAUAUUCUUUAGGAAAGAAAAAAACUGUCCCAAAUGGCACCCUAAUCCGUAUAUAGUACACUACUUUUAACUACGGCCAAUAGAGCUCUGGUUCAAACUAGUGCACUGUGGAUUAUUGUGUCCCAAAUAUUUUUUUCACUGCUUUUUUUGUUGUUGCUCGCACUGUUUUUCAUUUCUGAUUGAUUGAUAAAUCCCCUGUAUCGUGAUGGAUUAGGUAGUUACCACUCUGCAUGUUGUGGCGCUACUGACAGCUGUUCAGUACAGAGAGAACUCACACCCAGGCUCUACUCGCCUAACCCACCAGGCUCUGAAAUGGCAGCUUGAUCUCUGUUCCACUACUCUUAACCAGGGUCAAUAGCGCUCUGGUCAAAACUAGUGC
ensembl:lncRNA